AGAGUUUGAUCCUGGCUCAGGACGAACGCUGGCGGCGUGCCUAACACAUGCAAGUCGAGCGAUGAAGUUCCUUCGGGAAACGGAUUAGCGGCGGACGGGUGAGUAACACGUGGGUAACCUGCCUUAUAGUGGGGGAUAGCCUUCCGAAAGGAAGAUUAAUACCGCAUAAGAUUGUAGUAUCGCAUGAUAUAGCAAUUAAAGGAGCAAUCCGCUAUAAGAUGGACCCGCGUCGCAUUAGCUAGUUGGUGAGGUAAUGGCUCACCAAGGCGACGAUGCGUAGCCGACCUGAGAGGGUGAUCGGCCACAUUGGGACUGAGACACGGCCCAGACUCCUACGGGAGGCAGCAGUGGGGAAUAUUGCACAAUGGGCGAAAGCCUGAUGCAGCAACGCCGCGUGAGUGAUGACGGCCUUCGGGUUGUAAAACUCUGUCUUCAGGGACGAUAAUGACGGUACCUGAGGAGGAAGCCACGGCUAACUACGU
rnacentral:rRNA from 1 species